CAAUGACAAUCACUACUCCCGUCUAAAGCAUUGAUAGUAGUUUUUUCUCUUUCUUUAAUUUUAUUAUUAUUUUUUUAGUUUAGAGUCGUCCUAAGAUUGUAAUAGCAAUACAUGACUUCUGUGUAGUAUUAGCGGGUGGACCUAAACUUGUGAUAUAUGUAGUUUGCUCAUCAAUGAGCACAAUUUUGGUGUGGCUUUCUGGUGUCUUGUUCCCACAUUGGGUAAUUCAAAUUAAUACAAG
rnacentral:misc_RNA from 1 species